AGAGGACCGGGAUGGACGAACCUCUGGUGUACCAGUUGUCACGCCAGUGGCAUCGCUGGGUAGCUAUGUUCGGAAGGGAUAACCGCUGAAAGCAUCUAAGCGGGAAGCCCACCCCAAGAUAAGAUAUCCCCUCUCUCCCGUUUCGGCGGGAGAGGCUGAAGGCCCCUUGUAGACUACGAGGUUGAUAGGUCGGGUGUGUAAGCACAGUAAUGUGUUCAGCUAACCGAUACUAAUUGGCCGUGCGGCUUGACCAUAA
rnacentral:rRNA from 2 species